UGAGAAAGUGUGGUAUGAUUGAAUUUUCUUGGUUUGAGAACGCGGGUUAUGAAAUAAAAGAUAAGACGAUAUUCCGGGAGCAUUCGAGUAAUGGUUGGGCGACGUUGCUCCGGGCUUGGAACAAAUUCUCCAACUCCAAUUUGGUGGAACAGGAUUUGCUCAUCAAAUAGGGCUUCUUCGUCCCCGGUGUAGAGUGCUAUAUCUUCGCCAUUUCGUGG
rnacentral:lncRNA from 1 species